AAGUUUCAACAACGGAUCUCUUGGCUCUCGCAUCGAUGAAGAACGCAGCGAAAUGCGAUAAGUAGUGUGAAUUGCAGAAUUCAGUGAAUCAUCGAAUCUUUGAACGCACCUUGCGCUCCUUGGUAUUCCUUGGAGCAUGCCUGUUUGAGUAUCA
rnacentral:rRNA from 1 species